UUCCCGGCGCCUGCGCGGCCGCUCCGGCCCCUAGAGCCGCGGGCGGGCGUUGGCGCUGGGUGUCCGGGGCCCCCGGGCCGCCCCCUCCCCGGCGCGGGGCUCCCGCUCGCCGCAUCCCGGAGGUGGCGGGGCGGCGGCAGCAGCGAGCGCUGCCCCGGCCGGGCCGCCCGGCCCCAGGACUGCAGUGUUCAAUUUUGUCUACUGAAAGGUGCAAAGCAAACAUCUCUGAAUCAGAACUUUUCCCCAAAUGCACAGCUAAAGUGAACUUUCUGUGUUUGACCAGGCAUUGAGACCCCUGACGCCCCAUAAUUCAAGAAUCCCUUGACCUGGCUAAACAACCCCCCCCCCCCCCAAAGAUCAAAUACAGCUUCCUCAUGCCAAGCUCAAAGUUGAAGGAUUAGCAGGGAGUCCAAGACAAACAUGAAGAGAUGGAGAAAUCACAUUUUCCAUUCAAGCCCCUGAAGGAUUCUUUUUCUAGAGUGCUGGAGAAGUGUAAGGCAGCUACUGAAAAGCAAGAGGAAAACCAAACAAAAGCCUUCAGAAGCGCAUUUCUGAUACAAAAAAGCCA